rnacentral:rRNA from 1 species
UUAUUGGAGAGUUUGAUCCUGGCUCAGGACGAACGCUGGCGGCAUGCCUAAUACAUGCAAGUCGAGCGGACUUGAAGAGAAGCUUGCUUCUCUGAUAGUUAGCGGCGGACGGGUGAGUAACACGUAGGCAACCUGCCCUCAAGUUUGGGACAACUACCGGAAACGGUAGCUAAUACCGAAUAAUUGUUUUCUUCGCCUGAAGGAAACUGGAAAGACGGAGCAAUCUGUCACUUGGGGAUGGGCCUGCGGCGCAUUAGCUAGUUGGUGAGGUAACGGCUCACCAAGGCGACGAUGCGUAG